CUGAGAGGUAAAGGGGAGGUGCUGAAGGCUGAGAGGUAAAGGGGAACAAGGUGCUGAAGGCUGAGAUGUAAAGGGGAGGUGCUGAAGGCUGAGAGGUAAAGGGGAACAAGGUGCUGAAGGCUGAGAUGUAAAGGGGAGGUGCUGAAGGC